UACGUAGGGUGCGAGCGUUGUCCGGAAUUAUUGGGCGUAAAGAGCUUGUAGGCGGUUUGUCGCGUCUGCCGUGAAAAUCCGGGGCUCAACCCCGGACUUGCGGUGGGUACGGGCAGACUAGAGUGUGGUAGGGGAGACUGGAAUUCCUGGUGUAGCGGUGAAAUGCGCAGAUAUCAGGAGGAACACCUAUAGCGAAGGCAGCUCGCUGGGACGACACUGACGCUGAGACGCGAAAGCGUGGGGAGCGAACAGG
rnacentral:rRNA from 1 species